GAAGAGAAGAACACCGAGGCACCGACCGGUCCAAGUCCAACCCAGCCGUCCCCUCCGAUCCGGGGGACUCCUCCCCAUUCCCAACUCCUAAACCCAUCGCCGCCACAGGCACCAUCUCCCCCGGCCUCAGCAGCCGCCAUGGCCGACGGCGCCAACCCAAACCCAACAUCCACACCCAGGCAGAAGGCAGUCCCGGACUGGCUCAACAGCCCGAUCUGGUCCGCCCCUGCCCCUAGCCCGCGCCACCGCUCCCCUCCCCGCGCCCCCUCCCCUCCCCCACCUCCCCCUCCCAAGCCGCAGCACGAUCCGACCCCGCCGCCCCCUCGUCAACCCGCGCGGCGCGACGGUGCAAGCUCUGACUCCGACUCCGACAGCGGCGGCGGUGACGAGGGCGCGGCCACCUCGUCUCGGACCCACCUCGUCGCCGAGUUCAAAGCGGCGCUGGAAAGGAAGGUGGUGGAUCUGGCGGAGCUGCGGAGGCUCGCGUGCCAGGGCGUGCCUGACGACCCCGCCGUGCGGCCUGUUGUCUGGAAGCUUCUCUUGGGGUACUUGCCAAUGGAUCAUGCUCUGUGGGCGUACGAACUGGAAAAAAAGCGGUCCCAGUACAGUGCUUUCAAAGACGAGCUUUUGGUUAACCCUUCAGAAGUUACCCGAAGAAUGGAAAUGACUAUUUCAAAAAGGAAGGAACAUAAUUCUGAAGGAACUGGAUUUCUCCCAAGGGCGGAAAUCGUCCAGGACGAACAUCCUCUAAGCCUUGGGAAAACUAGUGUUUGGAACCAACACUUCCAGGAAUCUGAAACUGUAGAGCAGAUUGAUAGAGAUGUUAAGCGUACUCAUCCUGAGAUGCAGUUUUUCAAUGGCGGUUCUUCUGAUGCCUUGUCUAAUCAGGAGUCAUUGAAGCGAAUACUUACCAUCUUUGCAAAAUUAAACCCGGGUAUAAGGUAUGUACAAGGAAUGAAUGAAGUUUUGGCACCUCUCUACUAUGUCUUCAAGAAUGAUCCAGACCAAAGUAAUUCUGCUUCAGCAGAGUCAGAUGCUUUUUUCUGUUUUGUUGAGGUGCUAAGUGGAUUUCGAGAUAACUUUUGCAAGCAGCUUGACAACAGUGUUGUUGGUAUACGCUCCAGAAUCAGUAAACUAUCCCAGCUCCUGAAAAGGCAUGAUGAAGAGCUCUGGCGGCAUUUAGAGGUCGUAACCAAGGUUAACCCACAGUUCUAUGCGUUCAGAUGGAUCACCCUGCUAUUGACACAGGAGUUUAAGUUCCGUGACUGCAUCCACCUGUGGGAUGCGUUAUUAGGUGAUCCAGAGGGGCCCCAGGCCACCUUGUUAAGGAUCUGCUGUGCAAUGCUAAUUCUUGUUCGAAGACGGCUCUUGGCUGGCGACUUCACUGCAAACCUCAAGCUUCUCCAGAAUUACCCACCCACAAACAUUGACCACUUGUUGCAUAUUGCUAAUAAAUUGCGUGGGCUAGUUCCCUGCUGAAUGAUUUGUUCUUUUUUUUCCAAUGUUGUUUUUAUGGUAGUCCGCUGUCCAGAGAUGAUGCAUUAAAUCUGUAAAUGAAUAUCCAUACGCUCUUUUUGACCCAUUGUUUAUCGUGUAAUGUAUGCCUGUUAAAGCUUGCUGUUCUUUU
rnacentral:rRNA from 1 species